rnacentral:rRNA from 1 species
UACGUAGGGUGCGAGCGUUAAUCGGAAUUACUGGGCGUAAAGCGUGCGCAGGCGGUUUUGUAAGCCAGAUGUGAAAGCCCCGGGCUUAACCUGGGAAUGGCAUUUGGGACUGCAAGGCUUGAGUGCGGCAGAGGAGACUGGAAUUCCUGGUGUAGCAGUGAAAUGCGUAGAUAUCAGGAGGAAUACCGAUGGCGAAGGCAGGUCUCUGGGCUGACACUGACGCUCAUGCCCGAAAGCGUGGGGAGCAAACAGG